GACGAACGCUGGCGGCGUGCUUAACACAUGCAAGUCGAACGGAAAGGCCCUGCUUUUGUGGGGUGCUCGAGUGGCGAGCGGGUGAGUAACACGUGAGUAACCUGCCCUUGACUUUGGGAUAACUUCAGGAAACUGGGGCUAAUACCGGAUAGGAGCUCCUGCUGCAUGGUGGGGGUUGGAAAGUUUCGGCGGUUGGGGAUGGACUCGCGGCUUAUCAGCUUGUUGGUGGGGUAGUGGCUUACCAAGGCUUUGACGGGUAGCCGGCCUGAGAGGGUGACCGGCCACAUUGGGACUGAGAUACGGCCCAGACUCCUACGGGAGGCAGCAGUGGGGAAUAUUGCACAAUGGGCGGAAGCCUGAUGCAGCAACGCCGCGUGCGGGAUGACGGCUUUCGGGUUGUAAACCGCUUUCGCCUGUGACGAAGCGUGAGUGACGGUAAUGGGUAAAGAAGCACCGGCUAACUACGUGCCAGCAGCCGCGGUGAUACGUAGGGUGCGAGCGUUGUCCGGAUUUAUUGGGCGUAAAGGGCUCGUAGGUGGUUGAUCGCGUCGGAAGUGUAAUCUUGGGGCUUAACCCUGAGCGUGCUUUCGAUACGGGUUGACUUGAGGAAGGUAGGGGAGAAUGGAAUUCCUGGUGGAGCGGUGGAAUGCGCAGAUAUCAGGAGGAACACCAGUGGCGAAGGCGGUUCUCUGGGCCUUUCCUGACGCUGAGGAGCGAAAGCGUGGGGAGCGAACAGGCUUAGAUACCCUGGUAGUCCACGCUGUAAACGGUGGGUACUAGGUGUGGGGUCCAUUCCACGGGUUCCGUGCCGUAGCUAACGCUUUAAGUACCCCGCCUGGGGAGUACGGCCGCAAGGCUAAAACUCAAAGGAAUUGACGGGGCCCCGCACAAGCGGCGGAGCAUGCGGAUUAAUUCGAUGCAACGCGUAGAACCUUACCUGGGUUUGACAUGGAUCGGGAGUGCUCAGAGAUGGGUGUGCCUCUUUUGGGGUCGGUUCACAGGUGGUGCAUGGCUGUCGUCAGCUCGUGUCGUGAGAUGUUGGGUUAAGUCCCGCAACGAGCGCAACCCUUGUUCACUGUUGCCAGCACGUUAUGGUGGGGACUCAGUGGAGACCGCCGGGGUCAACUCGGAGGAAGGUGGGGAUGACGUCAAGUCAUCAUGCCCCUUAUGUCCAGGGCUUCACGCAUGCUACAAUGGCUGGUACAGAGAGUGGCGAGCCUGUGAGGGUGAGCGAAUCUCGGAAAGCCGGUCUCAGUUCGGAUUGGGGUCUGCAACUCGACCUCAUGAAGUCGGAGUCGCUAGUAAUCGCAGAUCAGCAACGCUGCGGUGAAUACGUUCCCGGG
rnacentral:rRNA from 1 species